UAGUUAUCAAGAAAGGUGGAGGGAAUAGACCCUUUGAAACCUUAGCAACCCUUUGCGCAAUGCAAUGAAGGUGCUAAAUUCUACCAAAUGUGCUUUAUGCAUUGGCGGCAGAUAACGA
rnacentral:ncRNA from 1 species